rnacentral:rRNA from 1 species
UACGGAGGGUGCAAGCGUUAUCCGGAUUCACUGGGUUUAAAGGGUGUGUAGGCGGGCCUUUUAAGUCUGGGGUGAAAUCUCCGAGCUCAACUCGGAAACUGCCCUGGAUACUAUCGGCCUUGAAUUAUGUUGAGGUCGGCGGAAUAUAACAUGUAGCGGUGAAAUGCAUAGAUAUGUUAUAGAACACCGAUUGCGAAGGCAGCUGACUAAGCAUAUAUUGACGCUGAGGCACGAAAGCGUGGGGAUCAAACAGG